GCAGUAUGUAGCCCAUAUCCAAGCACAGACUGAGCACUUUCCUACACAGCUUGUCAUAGCUCAGCUUGCUGUCCUUUACUCUGGACUGGCUCUGCCGUUUGGCACCUAUAUUACUGCUCCCCCCUGGAGCUGCCCCUGAUCCCUGUUCAACUUCUCACCUGUGCCUCUUCUAGUUGUUACCCCAUAACAUCCUGAACUGCUCUCAUGGCUUUCUAUGGAUCCAAUGACCCCCCAAGCCGGCGUGGCAGCUUCUCCAGUGUAUCUGGAUCCCUGACCCCUUCCCGACUCCCCUCCCUGCGGGCUGGGAUGGACACCUUUCUGCCCUCUGCUCGCUCUGGCAUAGACUCUCUACUCAACAAUAAUAACAAUCAAGAGGUGAUGCAGGGGCUGAACGAGAGAUUAGCUGGGUACCUUAAGCGAGUCCGUGGCUUGGAAGAGGAGAACGGUAAACUACAGGAUGAGAUUGACAAGAUCAAAGCCAAGAAGAGCCAAGCCACCCAAGACUGGGAUGCCUACCAAGACCCUUUACACCAACUGCGAAAACAGGUGGAAGUCUUGAAUAUGGACAAUGCCAAACUCCUGUUGCAGAUUGAUAAUGCCAGACUGGCUGCCGAUGACUUUAAAGUGAAGAUAGAAACAGAAGAGAGUAUUGCUGAUGGGGUGCUAAAGGACACCCAGGGUUUGCGCAAGAUGACAGACGACACCAACUUCGUGCGAAUGAAGCUGGAGGGGGAGUUGGAUACAAUAAAAGAAGAGCUGGCUCACCUUAAAAAGAAUCACAAGGAGGAGGUGGCAUCCCUGCAAGCGUUGAUUGGAAAUAACAAUGUGAAGGUGGAAGUAGAGGGACCCAAAAAGUCUGACCUGAAUGAGAGUGUUGCCCUGGUUCGCAGUCAGUACGAGAAGCUGGCAGAGCAGAAUCGAGCAGACGCUGAAGCCACUUAUAAGAAAAAGCUUGAUACUAUGUCCCAGGAAGCCAAUACUAACAACAAGGCACUGGACCAAGUCAAGAACGAGCUGGCUGAUCUGCGGCGGCAGCUUCAGGGCCUGGAAAUAGAGCGUCAGACUCUCGAAAAAACUGUGGACUCCUUGCAAAAUGCCCUGAGGGACACAGAAAACCAUUAUGGUUCCAACUUGAUGGACCUAAACCAACAAAUCUCCAGACUGCAGGAGGAACUAGCGGCCUGCCGUUCGGACAUAGAGCGCCAAAUGCGAGACUACGAGACCCUGCUGAACCUAAAGAACAAAUUGGAGAAUGAAAUUCAUGCUUAUCGUACUCUGCUGGAUGGAUUCCUAGACAAAGAGGAGCAGCCUGACCAGCCACCGGAAAAUGAAACAAAGUGAAGAGCCAGGUAUUGAUAAAGAGGCGAGACAGAGCCCUGGAGACGGGCGAUGAUGUCCUUUGGCGGGCCGCCAUCCCGUUUAGGCCCCAAGGCCCGAUGCACUCUAUCCAGGAUCAGCUUAUCAUGCGGGACAUCUGGGAUCAGAUCUGCCUCCUGGAGAUUGAUUACCGUGUCAGGUACAGACCCCCCCCCGGGCUGGAUUCAGAAGAGAAGCAAAAAGAGAAAGUUAUAUUUUCAUUGUCUUACACGAAGAAACCAUUGAUUUUAAGGCCGAUUCCCCUUGCCCCACGACGUGUGACUUAUUUUAAAACAACACGCCUCUCUUUGUUCUUUUGAGUCUCCCAGCACUUAAUAAAGCGUUAUGUCUAAA